AAGCCCUAUUCUAUUACUGGUAGUUUGCCACUUAUUAGAGAAUUGCAGGAUGAGGGCUUUGAUGUCCAAACUGCAGGCUAUGGCUUGAUGGCUACAUACCAUGCCAAGAAUGAGUACUGCCUUCUAACUG